UAGGAACCUACCUACCUACCGCAAAGUGCCAAGAAUGAGGCAUUAAAAAGUUCGACUUUUGUUAUUUCAAAUUAUCUUUGUAAGGUGGCGCUAGUAUUAUGGUAGCAGCCGCAUUUUGUAUUUUCUUAGUUAAAUUAGCUAGCAUUUCUGUGCUUCAGGUACCGAGUACGAAGCCACACUGAGUAUUUUUCUGCAUUGCAGCAGCGUGUGUCGCAAGAGGAUGCAGCGCCGUGACGUGUCAUAGCGGCUACCUGACAAAGCGAGGAGUGGCGCGACGGCUCAUCGGCGUCAUCGCUUGCGCCGACGCAGUCUGAGCAGCCAAGCGGACUGCGCUCUCCGCGCAGCUUCCCUCCAGAUUGCGUAACUUUUGAACCCGCCGUUACAUUGACCGUUAUUUUUGUCAGGACCAGCCGUUAAGUUCCUCACGCGUAUUCGUUCAUGAACUGCGGAGCGCCAGACUGCCUUCCACAUCUUCUUUGCUCACGCACAUACCUACGUGCAAGAGAGAAGGCGCGUGAGGGUGAAGACACCGAUCAUGUACCCUCUACAGGUGCCAAAUGGGCAGACGAAAACGCCGCCGCCCAAAGGGCCACCACGAAACUCCUGAACUCCAAGAACCCAGUAAGAAGACCUGCUGAAUUAAGGAGCUACAGCCCAGCAGCCUGUUCGAAACCAGGUUUAUCAAGGUCGAUACCUGUAAUGGACGUUACCCGGAGGCACUCAUAUUUAAUGUUGAUUGCUAGCUUGUCUAGUCGUGUUUACUUUUUGCAAUAAAAAAUGUUAUUGCUGUAUGUGUUUCGUGUAUUGCACAAGCGCAAACCUGCAUGCCGCCGGCCGGCGAAACGCCGCAGGGGCAUGGGGAGAGGGAAGGAAAGGGAGACGAGGGGGGCGCUAGAGGGGAGGGUGAAAAAAAACGGAUGUCAAAAUCCUGAUUGUAGCAGGAUUCAAUCUGUAUUUUUUAAAUGCUUCUAAUGGUCUUACAAAAUCCCAUUUCAAGACAGGAUUUUUCGAAACUACUUUAAGCAGGAUUCUAGAACUUCUUGCAAUAGUCAUAUCCGCCGGACAUUAGCAACGAUAUACGACCGUUUAUCACCUUCUAAA